rnacentral:lncRNA from 1 species
GCUUGGUACAUUGAAUAUAUGGAUAAGUAAAUUCUUUUACAUCUAUUCAUAUUAAACCCCUUCAACAUAAAAUUCAUAUACCUAGACUGGGACAAGUCUAGCAUUCACUUAGAUCUAUCACUAUAGAUUCCAAGUAUAUUAGAUGCUUAACCCAAGUCUUUUUCAUGAAAACCUUCUGUGAAAAAAUAUGUUAUUGACCAAGUGCAAUAUCGGGACUAUCUUUCCAACAUGUUCUAUGUCAUUCACAUACAAAAACCAAGAAGUUAGUGGGACUCCCACUUAUCUUCUUGCACACACAU